rnacentral:rRNA from 1 species
AAGGGAGAGGAAUAAGUAGAAAUCUACCCUCGGAUCGGGGAUAGCGGCGGGAAACUGCCGGUAAUACCCGAUAACGUCUUUGGACCAAAGGUGUGAUUCCGUCUGAGGAUGAGUCUACUUCCUAUUAGCUAGUUGGCGGGGUAAUGGCCCACCAAGGCAACGAUGGGUAGCAGGUGUGAGAGCAUGACCUGCCUCAUUGGGACUGAGACACUGCCCAGACGCCUACGGGUGGCUGCAGUCGAGAAUCUUCGGCAAUGGACGAAAGUCUGACCGAGCGACGCCGCGUGCGGGAUGAAGGCCUUCGGGUUGUAAACCGCUGUCGGAGGGGAACAAAUGUACGGGGGUACUCCCCUGUAUUUGAGUGAACCUAGGAGGAAGGAGAGGCUAAGCUCGUGCCAGCAGCCGCGGUAAGACGAGCUCUCCGAACGUUAUUCGGUAUCACUGGGCUUAAAGAGUUCGUAGGCGGUCUGGUAGGUGAGGUGUGAAAUCCCCCGGCUCAACCGGGGAACUGCGCUUCAAACCGCCGGACUUGAGGGAGACAGAGGUGGGCGGAACAGAUGGUGGAGCGGUGAAAUGCGUUGA